CCUACGGGGGGCAGCAGUGGGGAAUAUUGCACACUGGGCGCAAGACUGAUGCAGCGACGCCGCGUGAGCGACGAAGGCCUUCGGGUCGUAAAGCCCUGUCCUAAGGGAAGAAUAAUGACGGUACCUUAGGAGGAAGCCCCGGCUAACUACGUGCCAGCAGCCGCGGUAAUCCGUAGGGGGCGAGCGUUCUCCGGAAUCACUGGGCGUAAAGGGUGCUUAGGCGGCCCUGCAAGCCAGGAGUUAAAUCCCUCGGUUCAACCGAGGUCAGCUCUUGAAACUGUCGGGCUUGGGUGCAGGAGAGGCGAGCGCAAUUCCUGGUGUAGCGGUGAAACGCGUAGAUAUAAGGAGGAACACCAGUGGCGAAGGCGGCUCUCUGGACUGCAACUGACGCUGAGGCACGAAAGCGUGGGGAGCGAACAGGAUUAGAUACCCCAGUAGUC
rnacentral:rRNA from 1 species